rnacentral:lncRNA from 1 species
CCCAAGAUAAGCUCCUGCAGGAAGACUGGUCCAUGUGGGGGUAGCGGAUCUGCUCUCCGUGGGAUGCUACAAAAUGCAUGCAGAAGCACUCCAGGCCUUCUUCAGAUCCAAUGAAAGCUGCUUAUAGGCCUCUUUGGACACAGUAAUCUUCUCUCUUUCUGUGCCCUUUGGGAAAUACUAUUUUUAAAAUGCAGCUGUCCAUGUUAGCACAGUCUUUACUGUAUAUCCCCACUAUUGGUAGACCUUGACAUCUUCUUCACAUUGUAAUAACUGGUGAAAUUUUAAUAAAAGGCUUGCUGUUAGCUCUGCUUCUUAAUAUGUAAUUAUUUUUAUUUAGUGGUUUGUGGUUUUUUUUUAGUGACUCUUACAACUACUUGAGAAGCAGCCAGCAGCAGGUCUUCUGAGCUUUGACUCUCAUUCAUAGUGAGCUUCUAACCCAAUGAAUCAAGUGCUCUGGCUAGAGAAGCAAUUUCAGGCACUUCCAGCACGGGGCUGGCGAGCAGAGGGGAGAGGAGCGCUGGCGAAGCCUGGAAUGACGCUGCCAGCGUGGGGAAAUUGAGAGGCAACUUUUAAUUUGAAGGAAGUUCAGCUUGCGAAGGAGGUGCCGCCGAGAUCCUCUGGUCCGGGAGUUGCUCUGCUGAAGCAGCAGAGGGAUUGUAAAACGUUUCAGCUUGCAGAGGCCUUGCUGCUGUCUCCCUCUUCUCUUGCCAUAAGCGUCGUGUCUGGCUGGCAGCUGGGAAGAGGAAAAGUUGGCUGCUGUUAUCUGCCACCUGAUUUCCAUGAAUUCCAGCAUUAUACAGUUUGUCUCCUACAGCUUGCUCUACUGAUGAAUCAUGGGUCUGCAUCAAUAAAUCCAGCUUUAUGCAGAGCUUUGAAACAGGGAGAACUGCAGUCUAUAAGUACUUUUCAAAAUAGGUAAGCAGAAGUGAUUUUAUACUCAGAAAUAGCUUUGGUAUGAAGACGACUUUCAGGUCCGUUGAACCUCCGAAUAAUCAGGGGAGGAGGUAGUUGCAAGCUGAUGCGUGGCUUUGGGUUUUCCCUGUGCUUGGGGCAGACCUAUUUUUGGAGUUUCAUCAGGGAUCUAUUGAGCUUUAUAGUCCUGUAUGGUAGGAAAGAGUAGUGUGGAGUCCCUUAAAAGACCUGAGCACCACUGUCUCGGAGCUUCGCAUGUCCUCUCCUGUCCUGAAGAAGUCACUUAUACAGCUAAGCACAGUCUUCAUCCUGAACUUGUUCAUCUGGCUGCAAGUUAAAGGCCACCUCAAGUCCACUUUGUAAAUACGAGUAGUAGAAAGGUA